CCUACGGGGGGCAGCAGUGGGGAAUAUUGGACAAUGGGGGGAACCCUGAUCCAGCCAUGCCGCGUGUGUGAAGAAGGCCCUCGGGUUGUAAAGCACUUUCAGUGAGGAAGAACGCCUGGUGGUUAAUACCCAUCAGGAAAGACAUCACUCACAGAAGAAGCACCGGCUAACUCCGUGCCAGCAGCCGCGGUAAUACGGAGGGUGCGAGCGUUAAUCGGAAUUACUGGGCGUAAAGCGCGCGUAGGUGGCUUGAUAAGCCGGUUGUGAAAGCCCCGGGCUCAACCUGGGAACGGCAUCCGGAACUGUCAAGCUAGAGUGCAGGAGAGGAAGGUAGAAUUCCCGGUGUAGCGGUGAAAUGCGUAGAGAUCGGGAGGAAUACCAGUGGCGAAGGCGGCCUUCUGGACUGACACUGACACUGAGGUGCGAAAGCGUGGGUAGCAAACAGGAAUAGAUACCCGGGUAGUC
rnacentral:rRNA from 1 species